GUGGGGAAUAUUGGACAAUGGGCGCAAGCCUGAUCCAGCCAUGCCGCGUGAGUGAUGAAGGCCCUAGGGUUGUAAAGCUCUUUCACCGGAGAAGAUAAUGACGGUAUCCGGAGAAGAAGCCCCGGCUAACUUCGUGCCAGCAGCCGCGGUAAUACGAAGGGGGCUAGCGUUGUUCGGAAUUACUGGGCGUAAAGCGCACGUAGGCGGACAUUUAAGUCAGGGGUGAAAUCCCGGAGCUCAACUCCGGACCUGCCUUUGAUACUGGGUGUCUGGAGUAUGGAAGAGGUGAGUGGAAUUCCGAGUGUAGAGGUGAAAUUCGUAGAUAUUCGGAGGAACACCAGCGGCGAAGGCGGCUCACUGGUCCAUUACUGACGCUGAGGUGCGAAAGCGUGGGGAGCAAACAGGAUUAGAUACCCUUGUAGUCC
rnacentral:rRNA from 1 species